rnacentral:rRNA from 1 species
CAUAUUGAACGCUGGCGGCAGGCCUAACACAUGCAAGUCGAACGGUAACAGGAAGAAGCUUGCUUCUUUGCUGACGAGUGGCGGACGGGUGAGUAAUGUCUGGGAAACUGCCUGAUGGAGGGGGAUAACUACUGGAAACGGUAGCUAAUACCGCAUAACGUCGCAAGACCAAAGAGGGGGACCUUCGGGCCUCUUGCCAUCGGAUGUGCCCAGAUGGGAUUAGCUAGUAGGUGGGGUAAAGGCUCACCUAGGCGACGAUCCCUAGCUGGUCUGAGAGGAUGACCAGCCACACUGGAACUGAGACACGGUCCAGACUCCUACGGGAGGCAGCAGUGGGGAAUAUUGCACAAUGGGCGCAAGCCUGAUGCAGCCAUGCCGCGUGUAUGAAGAAGGCCUUCGGGUUGUAAAGUACUUUCAGCGGGGAGGAAGGGAGUAAAGUUAAUACCUUUGCUCAUUGACGUUACCCGCAGAAGAAGCACCGGCUAACUCCGUGCCAGCAGCCGCGGUAAUACGGAGGGUGCAAGCGUUAAUCGGAAUUACUGGGCGUAAAGCGCACGCAGGCGGUUUGUUAAGUCAGAUGUGAAAUCCCCGGGCUCAACCUGGGAACUGCAUCUGAUACUGGCAAGCUUGAGUCUCGUAGAGGGGGGUAGAAUUCCAGGUGUAGCGGUGAAAUGCGUAGAGAUCUGGAGGAAUACCGGUGGCGAAGGCGGCCCCCUGGACGAAGACUGACGCUCAGGUGCGAAAGCGUGGGGAACAAACAGGAUUAGAUACCCCUGGUAGUCCACGCCGUAAACGAUGUCGACUUGGAGGUUGUGCCCUUGAGGCGUGGCUUCCGGAGCUAACGCGUUAAGUCGACCGCCUGGGGAGUACGGCCGCAAGGUUAAAACUCAAAUGAAUUGACGGGGGCCCGCACAAGCGGUGGAGCAUGUGGUUUAAUUCGAUGCAACGCGAAGAACCUUACCUGGUCUUGACAUCCACAGAACCUUGUAGAGAUACGAGGGUGCCUUCGGGAACUGUGAGACAGGUGCUGCAUGGCUGUCGUCAGCUCGUGUUGUGAAAUGUUGGGUUAAGUCCCGCAACGAGCGCAACCCUUAUCCUUUGUUGCCAGCGGUCCGGCCGGGAACUCAAAGGAGACUGCCAGUGAUAAACUGGAGGAAGGUGGGGAUGACGUCAAGUCAUCAUGGCCCUUACGACCAGGGCUACACACGUGCUACAAUGGCGCAUACAAAGAGAAGCGACCUCGCGAGAGCAAGCGGACCUCAUAAAGUGCGUCGUAGUCCGGAUUGGAGUCUGCAACUCGACUCCAUGAAGUCGGAAUCGCUAGUAAUCGUGGAUCAGAAUGCCACGGUGAAUACGUUCCCGGGCCUUGUACACACCGCCCGUCACACCAUGGGAGUGGGUUGCAAAAGAAGUAGGUAGCUUAACCUUCGGGAGGGCGCUUACCACUUUGU